UUCUCUGUGUCUGAAUUUCCGACACAAAAAUAAUGUAUGUGUCAGUGUCGGAUUACAGACUUUCACCUGAAGAUCUCCACCACCGCCUAAGGCCGCCUCCUGAACCUCCGCCGCCAAGAUGGAGGAGAAGCAUAUAUAUUGAACAAUAUUCUUGUCAGCGGAAACGGACUCUUUCAUUAGUGGAGUCAUUCAUAGUUUUGGAGGGGUGGAAAAGGUUGAUAAUAAUUGGCGAAUCGUCAUUUGUGCAAUUAUCUUCCUUCAGGGCCACAUUUAGGCA